AAACUGGAGCUAAUACCGGAUGAGACCACGGGAUCCACGGAUCCUGCGGAAAAACGAUGGCCUCUGCUUGCAAGCUAUCGCCUGACGAUGAGCCCCGCGUCCCAUUAGCUAGUUGGCGGGGUAACGGCCCACCAAGGCAGUGAUGGGUAGCUGGUCUGAGAGGAUGAUCAGCCACACUGGGACUGAGACACGGCCCAGACUCCUACGGGAGGCAGCAGUCGGGAAUUUUGGGCAAUGGGCGAAAGCCUGACCCAGCAACGCCGCGUGAGGGAUGAAGGCCUUCGGGUCGUAAACCUCUGUCGGGAGGGAAGAAUGUCUUCGGGGUGAACAAUCCCGGAGGUUGACGGUACCUCUAGAGGAAGCGCCGGCUAACUCCGUGCCAGCAGCCGCGGUAA
rnacentral:rRNA from 1 species